GGACCCGCACAAGCGGUGGAGCAUGUGGUUUAAUUCGAAGCAACGCGAAAACCUUACCAGGACUUGACAUCCUUUUGACCGGUCUUGUAAUGAGACUUUCUCUUCGGAGCAGAAGUGACAGGUGGUGCAUGGUCGUCGUCAGCUCGUGUCGUGAGAUGUUGGGUUAAGUCCCGCAACGAGCCAACCCUUAUUAUUAGUUGCCAGCAUUCAGUUGGGCACUCUAAUGAGACUGCCGGUGAUAAACCGGAGGAAGGUGGGGACGACGUCAGAUCAUCAUGCCCCUUAUGUCCUGGGCUACACACGUGCUACAAUGGGAAAUACAACGAGUCGCUAGCCCGCGAGGGUACGCUAAUCUCUUAAAGUUUCUCUCAGUUCGGAUUGCACUCUGCAACUCGAGUGCAUGAAGUCGGAAUCGCUAGUAAUCGCGAAUCAGCAUGUCG
rnacentral:rRNA from 1 species